AUUGAACGCUGGCGGCGUGCUUAACACAUGCAAGUCGAGCGAAGAACGGAACUUUGAUUCUUUCGGGAUGAAGAGUUCUGUGACUGAGCGGCGGACGGGUGAGUAACGCGUGGGUAACCUGCCUCAUACAGGGGGAUAACAGUUAGAAAUGACUGCUAAUACCGCAUAAGACCACAGCACCGCAUGGUGCAGGGGUAAAAACUCCGGUGGUAUGGGAUGGACCCGCGUCUGAUUAGCUGGUUGGUGGGGUAACGGCCUACCAAGGCGACGAUCAGUAGCCGGCCUGGGAGGGUGACCGGCCACAUUGGGACUGAGACACGGCCCAAACUCCUACGGGAGGCAGCAGUGGGGAAUAUUGCACAAUGGGGGAAACCCUGAUGCAGCGACGCCGCGUGAGCGAAGAAGUAUUUCGGUAUGUAAAGCUCUAUCAGCAGGGAAGAAAAUGACGGUACCUGACUAAGAAGCCCCGGCUAACUACGUGCCAGCCGCCGCAGUAA
rnacentral:rRNA from 1 species